UCGGGAAUUUUGGGCAAUGGGCGAAAGCCUGACCCAGCAACGCCGCGUGAAGGAUGAAGUAUUUCGGUAUGUAAACUUCGAAAGAAUAGGAAGAAUAAAUGACGGUACUAUUUAUAAGGUCCGGCUAACUACGUGCCAGCAGCCGCGGUAAUACGUAGGGACCAAGCGUUGUUCGGAUUUACUGGGCGUAAAGCGCGUGUAGGCGGUUCGUUAAGUCGUCUGUGAAAGCCCAUGGCUCAACCAUGGAAGUGCAGCCGAUACUGGCAAACUUGAGUUCUGGAGAGGGUGGCGGAAUUCCCAGUGUAGAGGUGAAAUUCGUAGAUAUUGGGAGGAACACCGGUGGCGAAGGCGGCCACCUGGACAGAUACUGACGCUGAGACGCGAAAGCGCGGGUAGCAAACAGGAUUAGAUACCCAAGUAGUCCCUGAGCGGGCUGGCAAGGCGCAU
rnacentral:rRNA from 1 species